UGUGGCUCAAGGGGUCAACUUCUUGCCUAUUGGUGGAUCAGUCACAACGACAGAGGUCGACUCUAACCUCACACAUCAACAAGCCUUGCUCUUCACACAAGAGAUGGCUUCCUUCAGUGAACAGAAGGCUCAAGUACUGUACUUCAGUACAAUUUUGAGUGUCCAAUAAAUGGAUCCAUGAGCGAGGGCAGGAGUUCAGGAGGCGCUGUGGCCUCCAGGAGACGGAUUGACAGCAGACCUCCUCCUCCUCCUCCUCCUCCUGCCUUCCAGUCUGUGGCUGCUGUGAUCUUUAUUUUUAUCUGAAGACUGAGUGUGUGCGUGUUUCACCUGUAACUCCUUUUUUUAAAACAAAUUUCUGAUGCCAAUAUUCAAUAACUAUUCAAAUAUUGAUUCUUCACACUGUUAAUGCAGAAUUAAUGUGUUGAUUAAAAACAGAAUUGAAACCAUAAUUGAAUAAAUAACUUAAUUGAAACUUCACUAUUUUAUUUAGAUGUUAAUAAAUAUGUUAUUAAAUUGACAUGUAGCAUUUAUAAGCAAUAUAUAAAAUAAUAAAACUCUAUAAACAUAUUUUAGUUUUCAGUAUUUAAGAACAACUCCUCUCAUGAAGGAUCUCUACCUGGUUCUAUUUAUAAACAGAUUACACUUCAUUAAUAAAUAUAAUACUUAAUAUAUUUAAUACUUCAUAUAAAACAUGAAGAUAUAUUUUAAAUGAUCACAACGGUGUUAAAUUGUCAGUUUAUUAUCUGCUGCUUAUAAAUCAUAAACGUGGGCGGUAAAGUUUACUGAUUAAUGGAUUCUAACAUGUAAAUGUGUUGAUAGAUUAUCUGCUCAGUUUAAGGGUUAAAAACUCCUGUAAAUGAAAGCAUGAAACAUGAAAGCAGAACUUUAUUUUUAUCAUUUUUAUCAGGCUCUUUUCAGUGUUCAGUUCAGGGAUGAUUUCGUCCAUUUUGAAUAGUUUACACAAUAAAUGCCUUAAAGUGUGCAGAUCGCCCUUAAUUUCAUUAACAAACACUGAAUCUGGAAAUGAAACAAAUAAAGAACAUGUGACGUA